AACGAACGCUGGCGGCGUGCUUAACACAUGCAAGUCGAGUGCGCGUCCGUAGCAAUACGGAUGGCGCACGGCGCACGGGUGCGUAACACGUGGGCAAUCUGCCCUUCGAUGGGGAAUAACUCCGGGAAACCGAAGCUAAUUCCGCAUAACAUUCCUUGGACCUCGGUUCGGGGACUCAAAGCCGUAAGGCGUCGAAGGAGGAGCCCGCGCCCGAUUAGCUAGUUGGUGAGGUAACGGCUCACCAAGGCAAUGAUCGGUAGCUGGUCUGAGAGGAUGGCCAGCCACACUGGAACUGAGACACGGUCCAGACUCCUACGGGAGGCAGCAGUGGGGAAUCUUGCGCAAUGGGCGAAAGCCUGACGCAGCGACGCCGCGUGGGGGAUGAAGCAUCUCGGUGUGUAAACCCCUUUCGACUGGGACGAAUGCCUCGCAAGAGGAGUGACGGUACCAGUAGAAGAAGCCCCGGCUAACUACGUGC
rnacentral:rRNA from 1 species